rnacentral:lncRNA from 1 species
GCAACCCAAAACCCAGUAACAUUUGAUUGGUGAGCCACUUUUAAAAGGAGCCACCUGAUAACUCUUAGCGUAGCCACCCAGGAGAAUUAAAAAGCGGGAGAAUUUGGUAACCGAAGGACUGGGGAUGUAGCUCAGUGUCAAGGCCCUGGGUUUAAUCCCCAAUGCCACAAACAAAAAACAAAACCAAAAGAAGACAUGAAAUGGUGAGAGGAUCUUCAGGCCUGAGAAGAGGGUGGAGGGCCUUUGCACUGAGUUCCAUCUCCAGCCCUUUUGAUUUUUUGUUUUGAGACAGGGUCUCAAUGGAACCCAGGCCCAUGAGCACUCCAGGCCAGGACCCUACCGCUCUGCACCCCUCCUUCCACAGCCUCCCCCAGGAGGGAUCGUCCUCCUUCCCGUCGGAGGUGAUGGCUCAGGAAAGGGCGCACACAGAGCAGGCUCCAGGGAGGACAGGAUUCCUGCUGGGAAGAGCUCUCUCCCUCCUAAACUGAGUCACGGAUGUUCUUAUCAGCAGACAACAGACCACAGGCGCAGGAAGAGUAAAGUUGCUGUGGCUCCUGACCACCUGCUACACAGGUCUGGAAUAGAUAGGUCUCUUCUGGCAUUAGUUUGGUGGCUGAAAUAACAUGGGGCUCAGCAUGUCUGUGACUCUCAGUCCCUCACUGAUAAUGCCACUCCAGCGAUUCUGACUGUUUAAGGGACCAUGCCAGGGAUACUCGUCUUUUUUCUGGAAUGAAAGCCAGACAUUUAGCCAGAUGUAGUGCUGCAUGCAUGCAAUGCUAACACUUGGGAGGCUGAGGCAGGAGGAUCACCUCAAAUUCGAGGCCAACCUGAGAUACAUAGUGAGAUCUUGUCUCAAAAAAACAAAAAAGAAAAUAAAACAAAAACAAAAGCCAAAGGUUUUCCCAGAAACCCUCCUGUACAUGCAUCUCCCAGGCAGUGCUGUGGAUGCAAGGCUGGCUAGGAAGAAUCUUGGAGCACUUCAUGUCACUAGAAGACACAGGAAAGGGACCAAACUAGAGCCAGUUCAGCUGCAAAUAUGAAGGGCACUCAGACCUCCUGGGCCUCUGGUGUCUGGAACCGCACCUUGCUGUAUAUAGCCCGAGCAGGAAGCCAGCACUGCAAAGAACAGAGAGGUGGAAAAAACUGUGUCCAAAACCAACAACUGAAGUGGAAAGUGGGCAGAGAAUGUGCAAACAGAGUUCACAGACAGGGAAAAACACAGCCCUGACUCAUGAAAAAAUGCUCAACCACACUCACAUAAGAAAUUCAAACAAAUAACGCUGCAAUUCCACUUCCCAGCAGUGAACUGGCAGAAAUCCAGGUGUUUGAGAACACAUUCUCUUAGUAAGGCUGGGCAGCAGGCAUCCAGGGCAAAAUGCCUGCCAGGUGUGGUGCACACCUGCAGUCUCAGCACUUUGGGAGGCUGAGGCAGGAG